GAAGGCAGCUCACUGGGCUGCAACUGACAUUGAUGCUCGAAAGUGUGGGUAUCAAACAGGAUUAGAUACCCUGGUAGUCCACACAGUAAACGAUGAAUACUCGCUGUUUGCGAUAUACAGUAAGCGGCCAAGCGAAAGCAUUAAGUAUUCCACCUGGGGAGUACGCCGGCAACGGUGAAACUCAAAGGAAUUGACGGGGGCCCGCACAAGCGGAGGAACAUGUGGUUUAAUUCGAUGAUACGCGAGGAACCUUACCCGGGCUUAAAUUGCAUUUGAAUAAUCAAGAAAUUGGUUAGUCGUAAGACAAAUGUGAAGGUGCUGCAUGGUUGUCGUCAGCUCGUGCCGUGAGGUGUCGGCUUAAGUGCCAUAACGAGCGCAACCCUUAUCUUCAGUUACUAACAGGUCAUGCUGAGGACUCUGGAGAGACUGCCGUCGUAAGAUGUGAGGAAGGUGGGGAUGACGUCAAAUCAGCACGGCCCUUACGUCCGGGGCUACACACGUGUUACAAUGGGGGGUACAGAAGGCCGCUACCUGGUGACAGGAUGCUAAUCCCAAAAGCCUCUCUCAGUUCGGAUCGAAGUCUGCAACCCGACUUCGUGAAGCUGGAUUCGCUAGUAAUCGCGCAUCAGCCAUGGCGCGGUGAAUACGUUCCCGGGCCUUGUACACACCGCCCGUCAAGCCAUGAAAGCCGGGGGUACCUGAAGUACGUAACCGCAAGGAGCGUCCUAGGGUAAAACUGGUAA
rnacentral:rRNA from 1 species